AACGCACGAGACCUGCGGACCUGCGGAAGGAUCAUUACCGAGUUUACAACUCCCAAACCCAAUGUGAACGUUACCAAACUGUUGCCUCGGCGGGAUCUCUGCCCCGGGUGCGUCGCAGCCCCGGACCAAGGCGCCCGCCGGAGGACCAACCAAAAACUCUUUUUGUAUACCCCCUCGCGGGUUUUUAUAUAUCUGAGCCUUUCUCGGCGCCCCUUCGUGGGCGUUUCGAAAAUGAAUCAA
rnacentral:misc_RNA from 1 species